UAUGUGAUCGUCUCUCGCAUAUCAAUAAGCGGAGGAAAAGAAACUAACAAGGAUUCCCCUAGUAACGGCGAGUGAAGCGGGAAGAGCUCAAAUUUGAAAUCUUAAAGGGUUUCCCUUUACGAAUUGUAGUUUAAAGAAGUGUUUUCUGUUGAGGUUUUGGUAAAAGUUCUUUGGAAUAGGACAUCAUAGAGGGUGAGAAUCCCGUAUUUGACCUUUACUUUCAACUUUGUGAUACACUUUCAAAGAGUCGGAUUGUUUGGGAAUGCAGUCCAAAAUGGGUGGUAAAUUUCAUCUAAAGCUAAAUAUUGGCGAGAGACCGAUAGCGAACAAGUACCGUGAGGGAAAGAUGAAAAGAACUUUGAAAAGAGAGUUAAACAGUACGUGAAAUUGUCAAAAGGGAAGCGUUUGACACCAGUGUUGUUUUUCUGAAAAUCAAUUAAAGAACUGUUUAUGCUAAGUUGUUUAGACUUUAUCAGCUAACUGUUUAGUUUUGAGCUUUUCCUUAAUGCACUUUUCAGUUAACAAGUCAACAUCAAUUUCUUUUGCUGUAAAAAAGCUUGAGGAAGGUGGCUUGAGAUUCGUCUUAAGUGUUUAUAGCCUCUUGCCUAUGCAGUCGGAGAGAUUGAGGUCUGCAGCGUAGAUCCUUCGGGGCUAAAUGCAUUUGUGCUAAGUUAUAGCAUUUUAUAGACAACUUGUUGACUAUGAUUUGUCUUGUAGCUUACUCGCUUAUGUUAUUUUACCUACGCUUAGGAUGUUGAAGUCAUCGUAUCGCGC
rnacentral:rRNA from 1 species